rnacentral:lncRNA from 1 species
AAUCUUCGGCCUCAGACGCGAUCAGUUGAAUUCAAUGGAAACCCACGGCCUUUCAGGUGGUGGUGGCGGUGGUAGUGGUGGAUUGAACCUCGAUUCCUUCCAAACCCACGUCGCCGAUUGCUUCCUCCAACUCUCCUCCUCCCACGACCUCCUCUCCCUCCCAUGGCUCCGAGACCUCCUCGACUCCUUCCUCCGCAUACACCAGGAGUUCAAAACCCUCCUCAUCCUCUCCACCAAAACCCACAUCUCCAAACCCACCGUUGACCGCUACAUCUCCGACUACUUCGAGCGCAGCGUCAAAGCCCUAGACGUCUGCAACGCCAU